CAAGGAUGAAAGACGGUUUCGGCUGUCACUUACAGAUGGACCCGCGGCGCAUUAGCUAGUUGGUGGGGUAAUGGCUCACCAAGGCGACGAUGCGUAGCCGACCUGAGAGGGUGAUCGGCCACACUGGGACUGAGACACGGCCCAGACUCCUACGGGAGGCAGCAGUAGGGAAUCUUCCGCAAUGGACGAAAGUCUGACGGAGCAACGCCGCGUGAGUGAUGAAGGUUUUCGGAUCGUAAAGCUCUGUUGUUAGGGAAGAACAAGUGCGAGAGUAACUGCUCGCACCUUGACGGUACCUAACCAGAAAGCCACGGCUAACUACGUGCCAGCAGCCGCGGUAAUACGUAGGUGGCAAGCGUUGUCCGGAAUUAUUGGGCGUAAAGGGCUCGCAGGCGGUUUCUUAAGUCUGAUGUGAAAGCCCCCGGCUCAACCGGGGAGGGUCAUUGGAAACUGGGAAACUUGAGUGCAGAAGAGGAGAGUGGAAUUCCACGUGUAGCGGUGAAAUGCGUAGAGAUGUGGAGGAACACCAGUGGCGAAGGCGACUCUCUGGUCUGUAACUGACGCUGAGGAGCGAAAGCGUGGGGAGCGAACAGGAUUAGAUACCCUGGUAGUCCACGCCGUAAACGAUGAGUGCUAAGUGUUAGGGGGUUUCCGCCCCUUAGUGCUGCAGCUAACGCAUUAAGCACUCCGCCUGGGGAGUACGGUCGCAAGACUGAAACUCAAAGGAAUUGACGGGGGCCCGCACAAGCGGUGGAGCAUGUGGUUUAAUUCGAAGCAACGCGAAGAACCUUACCAGGUCUUGACAUCCUCUGACAACCCUAGAGAUAGGGCUUUCCCUUCGGGGACAGAGUGACAGGUGGUGCAUGGUUGUCGUCAGCUCGUGUCGUGAGAUGUUGGGUUAAGUCCCGCAACGAGCGCAACCCUUGAUCUUAGUUGCCAGCAUUCAGUUGGGCACUCUAAGGUGACUGCCGGUGACAAACCGGAGGAAGGUGGGGAUGACGUCAAAUCAUCAUGCCCCUUAUGACCUGGGCUACACACGUGCUACAAUGGACAGAACAAAGGGCUGCAAGACCGCAAGGUUUAGCCAAUCCCAUAAAUCUGUUCUCAGUUCGGAUCGCAGUCUGCAACUCGACUGCGUGAAGCUGGAAUCGCUAGUAAUCGCGGAUCAGCAUGCCGCGGUGAAUACGUUC
rnacentral:rRNA from 1 species